AUUGAACGCUGGCGGCAGGCCUAACACAUGCAAGUCGAACGAGUGGCGGACGGGUGAGUAAUGUGUGGAAAUGUGCCUGAUAGAGGGAGAAAACUACUGGAAAAGGUAGCUAAUACCGCAUACCAUUAGAUGAGGCAAGAGGGGAAUGGCUUGUUGGUGGGGGAAGGGCUCACCAAGGCGACGAUCCCUAGCUGGUCUGAGAGGAUGAACAGCCACACUGGAACUGGGACACGGUCCAGACUCCUACGGGAGGCAGCAGUGGGGAAUAUUGCACAAUGGGCGCAAGCCUGAUGCCGCCAUGCCGCGUGUGUGAAGAAGGCCUUCGGGUUGUAAAGUACUUUCAGCGGGGAGGCGUUACCCGAAGAAGAAGCACCGGCUAACUCCGUGCCAGCAGCCGCGUUAAUAC
rnacentral:rRNA from 1 species